AAUGAACGUUGGCGGUGUGGAUUAGGCAUGCAAGUCGAGCGCGAACUGUAGCAAUACAGGGAGAGCGGCGUAAGGGAGAGUAAUACGCAGGUACCUACCCCCGGGCCUGGGAUAGCGACGGGAAACUGCCGGUAAUACCAGAUGAUGUCUCCGGACCAAAGGUGUGAUUCCACCUGGGGAGGGGCCUACGGCCUAUUAGCUUGUUGGUGGGGUAACGGCUUACCAAGGCAAAGAUGGGUAUGGGGCGUGAGAGCGUGCCCCCACUCACUGGGACUGAGAACUGCCCAGACACCUACGGGUGGCUGCAGUCGAGAAUCUUCGGCAAUGGGCGAAAGCCUGACCGAGCGACACCGCGUGCGGGAUGAAGGCCUUCGGGUUGUAAACCGCUGUCGUAGGGGAGGAAGGGCCUGCGAAGAGCAGGACUUGACCGAUCCUAGGAGGAAGGGCCGGCUAAUCUCGUGCCAGCCGCCGCCGUAAUAC
rnacentral:rRNA from 1 species